CCAUUUCCUCUCAAACAAAAAGCCUAACCUCUCUUCCAAAGAUCAAGAAAUCAAGCCUUAAGUCCAAGAUUUCCAAGGAACAAAUCAAGAUCCGAGUUCUACUCUUUAAACUAAGUAAUUUAAGGAUUCUGAGACACAGUCCUGGGGUCCCGUUAAGCAAUAGAUUGACUUGUCAGAAGUUUGUAACUGGUGAGCUUCCCUUACUUCGGAAGGCCUGAUUAUGAAACUUGUUAUUGUUAUUUUAUUUUGAUUCAUGGCCCGACUGGUUUUUUUUGUCCCAGAUUCCAGACAGAAGUCAAUUUUAGAUGUAUUAGAGAUUUCGCAGAUCGAUGUUAGAUGUUGUUAGAGGUUUAUGGAGUCCAUUCCAGAUUGCUCAAUCGAAUUGUGAUAUUGACCAUGAUUCCGUAUUGUUUUAAUAUUUCGCA